rnacentral:rRNA from 1 species
AUUGAACGCUGGCGGCAGGCCUAACACAUGCCAGUCGAGCGGAUGAAGGGAGCUUGCUCCUGGAUUCAGCGGCGGACGGGUGAGUAAUGCCUAGGAAUCUGCCUGGUAGUGGGGGAUAACGUCCGGAAACGGGCGCUAAUACCGCAUACGUCCUGAGGGAGAAAGUGGGGGAUCUUCGGACCUCACGCUAUCAGAUGAGCCUAGGUCGGAUUAGCUAGUUGGUGGAGUAAAGGCCUACCAAGGCGACGAUCCGUAACUGGUCUGAGAGGAUGAUCAGUCACACUGGAACUGAGACACGGUCCAGACUCCUACGGGAGGCAGCAGUGGGGAAUAUUGGACAAUGGGCGAAAGCCUGAUCCAGCCAUGCCGCGUGUGUGAAGAAGGUCUUCGGAUUGUAAAGCACUUUAAGUUGGGAGGAAGGGCAGUAAGUUAAUACCUUGCUGUUUUGACGUUACCAACAGAAUAAGCACCGGCUAACUUCGUG